rnacentral:rRNA from 1 species
UACGUAGGGCGCAAGCGUUGUCCGGAUUUAUUGGGCGUAAAGAGCUCGUAGGCGGUCUGUCGCGUCUGCUGUGAAAACUCAGGGCUUAACCCUGAGCUUGCAGUGGGUACGGGCAGACUAGAGUGCGGUAGGGGAGACUGGAAUUCCUGGUGUAGCGGUGAAAUGCGCAGAUAUCAGGAGGAACACCGGUGGCGAAGGCGGGUCUCUGGGCCGUAACUGACGCUGGAGGAGCGAAAGCAUGGGAGCGAACAGG